rnacentral:lncRNA from 1 species
GGCAAAGACAAGUCACUCGUGCACCAUCCCAUUUUCGUAGUGAUUCCAGUGCUUUUAGCACUAAUUUCAUAAAUAAACCCUCUGGAGCACAUUCACAUCCCAAACAGUUCACUCAGAAACUCAGUUUUGAUACCACCAAAACAAAUUCAGUAUGUAGAUAUUGCAAGAAACCAGGUCAUUUGAUUGAUAAAUGCUACAAGCUGC